CUUUAGGAAUUGAAUUGAAUAAUUAUUACAUGUGCAUUGUAAUGUAUCAAAUAUAUUUGAUUAAAUACUCUUAAAGUACAGUAUUUUAUUCGGGAGUGUUAUGGUAAUUUUGAUUAACCAGAAUACUUUUUUUUUUAAAGUCAGUUGGUUCAUUUUUAGGGUCAGAUGCUAAGAAUAUAAUAUAACCCCAAUGUCAGUAGUUGGCACCUAUCGACGAAUAACUCCAUUUUAAUGGUAUUCUUUCAUAAAAUGAAACAAGUCAUAUUACUUUAUGGGGAGGGAAAAUCUUUAUUAAGGACAAAC
rnacentral:lncRNA from 1 species